UACGAAGGGGGCUAGCGUUGCUCGGAAUUACUGGGCGUAAAGGGCGCGUAGGCGAGCGUUUAAGUCAGAGGUCAAAUCCCGGGGCUCAACCUCGGAACUGCCUUUGAUACUGGACGCCUAGAGUAUGGGAGAGGUGAGUGGAACUCCGAGUGUAGAGGUGAAAUUCGUAGAUAUUCGGAAGAACACCAGUGGCGAAGGCGACUCACUGGCCCAUUACUGACGCUGAGGCGCGAAAGCGUGGGGAGCAAACAGG
rnacentral:rRNA from 1 species